rnacentral:rRNA from 1 species
GAUGAACGCUGGCGGCGUGCCUAAUACAUGCAAGUCGAGCGAACAGAUGAGGAGCUUGCUCCUCUGACGUUAGCGGCGGACGGGUGAGUAACACGUGGAUAACCUACCUAUAAGACUGGGAUAACUUCGGGAAACCGGAGCUUAUACCGGAUAAUAUAUUGAACCGCAUGGUUCAAUAGUGAAAGACGGUUUUGCUGUCACUUAUAGAUGGAUCCGCGCCGCAUUAGCUAGUUGGUAAGGUAACGGCUUACCAAGGCGACGAUGCGUAGCCGACCUGAGAGGGUGAUCGGCCACACUGGAACUGAGACACGGUCCAGACUCCUACGGGAGGCAGCAGUAGGGAAUCUUCCGCAAUGGGCGAAAGCCUGACGGAGCAACGCCGCGUGAGUGAUGAAGGUCUUCGGAUCGUAAAACUCUGUUAUUAGGGAAGAACAAAUGUGUAAGUAACUAUGCACGUCUUGACGGUACCUAAUCAGAAAGCCACGGCUAACUACGUG